rnacentral:rRNA from 1 species
GACGAACGCUGGCGGCGUGCUUAACACAUGCAAGUCGAACGCUGAAGCACCAGCUUGCUGGUGUGGAUGAGUGGCGAACGGGUGAGUGUUACGUGAGUAACCUGCCCUUGACUCUGGGAUAAGCCCGGGAAACUGGGUCUAAUACUGGAUGCUACAUGUCACCGCAUGGUGGUCUGUGGAGAGGGUUUACUGGUCUUUGAUGGGCUCACGGCCUAUCAGCUUGUUGGUGAGGUGAUGGCUUACCAAGGCGACGACGGGUAGCCGGCCUGAGAGGGUGACCGGCCACACUGGGACUGAGACACGGCCCAGACUCCUACGGGAGGCAGCAGUGGGGAAUAUUGCACGAUGGGCGAAAGCCGGAUGCAGCGGGGCCGCGGGAGGGAUGACGGCCUUCGGGUUGUAAACCUCUUUCAGCAGGGAAGAAGCCACAAGUGACGGUACCUGCAGAAGAAGCGCCGGCUAACUACGUG